AUCUGGGGGAAAGGAGCUCUGAGGGGCUCCGGUUGGGCAAGCUUCAGCCCUCACCUGUCCCUCAGGGAUGGCCUCGUGCCAGCCCCAUGGGACAAAGAGCCAAGGAAGACCCUCCCCGAGCCUCCCAACACAGCCGUGGCUCAUGUAAGCAUGAUGAACUGGGAGGAAUGCCCAGAGACAGCUGGUGGCUGAGGGUCCUUCCAUACCCUCCCUCGGUCUCCUUCCUCUCCAUGCAACGUUCCUUAGUCAAUCAACUCUUUCUGGGACCCAGGGUCCAAUGUGACAUCUACAACUGAGAAGCUUCUCCCUCAGAUCCCAGGACUUGAAAGAUCAGAUGUGAGAACAAAGAGGCUCCUCAGCACUCAACCUUCCCCCCUUCUCCACCUCUCAGGGCUUUCUAAGUGUUUCCAGUCAUUCUCCUGAAGCUGAACGAGCACCACAAGACUGGAAACUGGAGACUGUCCAAAUCAACCUGCCGCACAUGAAAACCUACCUCCUCCACUGAGGAGAAAGCCUCGGCCAAUGAGAUGGUAUUUCUCCCAAGGCCAGGAAUGCCCUUCUUUUCACUUCUUGUGAGCAGCUGGCUCACUCCCUCCUGUUUCUGUGACCCAGGAACCUUGAUGAUACUUUCCCUGCUCGAUGAUACUCAGGACACUAUUUAAUUCAAAUCCCGCUCUAUACAGUGAGGACUGUACAGCCAGACCACUGGAACUCAGGUCAUGAUCUCGCAGCCCAGGUGGGGCUCUGCAC